GCCGCGUGAGUGAUGAAGGUUUUCGGAUCGUAAAACUCUGUUGUUAGGGAAGAACAAGUAUCGGAGUAACUGCCGGUACCUUGACGGUACCUAACCAGAAAGCCACGGCUAACUACGUGCCAGCAGCCGCGGUAAUACGUAGGUGGCAAGCGUUGUCCGGAAUUAUUGGGCGUAAAGCGCGCGCAGGCGGUCCUUUAAGUCUGAUGUGAAAGCCCACGGCUCAACCGUGGAGGGUCAUUGGAAACUGGGGGACUUGAGUGCAGAAGAGGAGAGUGGAAUUCCACGUGUAGCGGUGAAAUGCGUAGAGAUGUGGAGGAACACCAGUGGCGAAGGCGACUCUCUGGUCUGUAACUGACGCUGAGGCGCGAAAGCGUGGGGAGCGAACAGGAUUAGAUACCCUGGUAGUCCACGCCGUAAACGAUGAGUGCUAAGUGUUAGAGGGUUUCCGCCCUUUAGUGCUGCAGCAAACGCAUUAAGCACUCCGCCUGGGGAGUACGGCCGCAAGGCUGAAACUCAAAGGAAUUGACGGGGGCCCGCACAAGCGGUGGAGCAUGUGGUUUAAUUCGAAGCAACGCGAAGAACCUUACCAGGUCUUGACAUCCUCUGACAACCCUAGAGAUAGGGCGUUCCCCUUCGGGGGACAGAGUGACAGGUGGUGCAUGGUUGUCGUCAGCUCGUGUCGUGAGAUGUUGGGUUAAGUCCCGCAACGAGCGCAACCCUUG
rnacentral:rRNA from 1 species